rnacentral:ncRNA from 1 species
CUAAUAGCUGGUUUCCUCCGAAGUUUCCCUCAGGAUAGCUGUAAUGCAUUUAGUUAAGGGGAGUAGAGAUAUGGGUAGAGGUGCAGGGAGCCUUCGGGUUCUCAACUUAUUUCCAAACUUCGAACCUCCUUGUUAGGCAUUUACCUAACUGGAAAUGCUUAAAUGAAUUAGCGUUACAAGUGGGCUCUGACCGGUAAGCGGUCAUGGCGAAAUGGGAUGAACCAUACGUCUGAAUAAGGUGCCGAAAUGUACUAUCACUGAUACCAUAAAGGGAGUCCAUGUAUUUAGACAGCAGGUCGGUGCCCCUAAAAGCAGGUAUCCGCUAAAGAGUGUGUUAAAACUCACCUGCCGAAUACUAGGGCCCCGAAAAUGAAUGGCGCAUAUAGUACUACCGAUCUCAGACAUCAGUUCUAUUGAACUGAGAGUAGGGGGAUGUGGACAUUUUUGUGAAGGUGCAAUGUGAGUUGGACUGGAAGAAUGUCUAUUACAGAUCCUAAUUGAAGUAGCGAUUAUCCAGGCUUGUAUCCUGGGGGCUGAUGAGGAGUAGGGUUUCUGGACAACUUAAACAGAUCCAGAGUUAGUCGAUCCUAAUCUCAAUAAUGGGAGAAAGGGAGUACAGUUGAUAUUCUGUAACUGACAACAGUUCGCGGCAACGCAUACUAUUUUUCUCCGCCAAUCUUAUACCGUUGGUAGGGAUCUCUUUCCUACAUGACAGUACUAAUACCCAGGGAAACUGGUCAUCAGGCGAACUGCGGCGUUCUGCUGGCAAAACAUAGCUUCGGUUAUGUCAAUGGCUAUUGGAUUGGUCCAUGAAGCGAAAAAUAGUUUACUGUGUCACUCGUACCGAUAACCGCAUCAGGUCUUCUAGGUAAGUAGCCUAUGGCCAUUGAGGCAUGAUAGUUCAGGGAAUUCGGCCAAUUAGAGCUGUAACUUCGGGAUAAAGCUGGC